rnacentral:rRNA from 1 species
GACGAACGCUGUCGGCGUGCUUAACCCAUGCAAGUCGAACGGAGUGGCGACCGGGUGAGUAACACGUGGGUGAUCUGCCUUGCACUUCGGUAUAAGCUUGGGACACUGGGUCUAAUACCGGAUAGUGCAAGAUGAGCUCGCGGCCUAUCAGCUUGUUGGUGGGGUAAUGGCCUACCAAGGCGUCGGCUGGUAGCCGGCCUGAGAGGGUGUACAGCAAAGUUGGGACUGGGAAACGGAGCGGAGACGUUCGGGAGGCAGCAGAGGGGAAGAUUGAACAAUGGGAGGGAGCCUGAUGCAGCGACGCCGCGGGGAAGAUGAAGGCCUACGGGUUGUAAACUCCUUUCGACGGUGACGAGGGACCUGUAUAAGAUGCAGCGGCUAACUACGUGCCAGCAGCCGAGGUAGGAC